rnacentral:rRNA from 1 species
GACGAACGCUGGCGGCGUGCUUAACACAUGCAAGUCGAGCGGAAAGGCCUGCUUUCCCUUGUGGAUUGCGGGUACUCGAGUGGCGAACGGGUGAGUAACACGUGAGUGAUCUGCCCCCAACUUGGGUAUAAGCCUGGGAAACUGGGUCUAAUUCCCGAUAGGACUGCAGGGUGGUGCCUGUGGUGGAAAACGAUUUUCUAGUGGUUGGGGAUGAGCUCGCGGCCUAUCAGCUUGUUGGUGUGGUAAUGGCCUACCAAGGCGGCGACGGGUAGCCGGCCUGAGAGGGUGGACGGCCACAUUGGGACUGAGAUACGGCCCAGACUCCUACGGGAGGCAGCAGUGGGGAAUAUUACACAAUGGGCGGAAGCCUGAUGCAGCGACGCCGCGUGGGGGAUGACGGCCUUCGGGUUGUAAACUCCUUUCGACCGCGAGGAAGCCACCUGGUUGGAAGGGUGGUGACGGUAGUGGUAGAAGAAGCACCGGCUAACUACGUG